ACGCCCGUGGCUCAACUGGUAGAGCAUCGGAUUCCAAAUCCGAGGGUUGGGGGUUCGAGUCCCUCCGGGCGUGCCA
rnacentral:tRNA from 1 species